GACGAACGCUGGCGGCGUGCUUAACACAUGCAAGUCGAACGGAAAGGCCCCUUUGGGGGUGCUCGAGUGGCGAACGGGUGAGUAACACGUGGGUGAUCUGCCCCUGACUCUGGGAUAAGCCUGGGAAACUGGGUCUAAUACUGGAUAGGACCUGCUGCUUCAUGGUGGUGGGUGGAAAGUUUUUUCGGUCAGGGAUGGGCCCGCGGCCUAUCAGCUUGUUGGUGGGGUAAUGGCCUACCAAGGCGACGACGGGUAGCCGACCUGAGAGGGUGAUCGGCCACACUGGGACUGAGACACGGCCCAGACUCCUACGGGAGGCAGCAGUGGGGAAUAUUGCACAAUGGGCGCAAGCCUGAUGCAGCGACGCCGCGUGAGGGAUGACGGCCUUCGGGUUGUAAACCUCUUUCGCUAGGGACGAAGCCUUUACCGGUGACGGUACCUGGAGAAGAAGCACCGGCCAACUACGUGCCAGCAGCCGCCGUAAAAC
rnacentral:rRNA from 1 species